UUUGGAUUGAAGGGAGCUCC
rnacentral:ncRNA from 2 species